GGGCCCGUAGCUCAGCGGUAGAGCAACUCCUUUGCAAGGAGAAGGUCCGCGGUUCAAAUCCGCGCGGGUCCA
rnacentral:tRNA from 1 species